GACCUCGUCGAGGUAAUCAAGAGUAAUCAUUGAGAACGUCGAUGUAUCGAGAGUAAUCAUUGACAACACAAGGUAAUCAAGAGUAAUCAUUGACAACACAAGGUAAUCAAGAGUAAUCAUUGACAACACAAGGUAAUCAAGAGUAAUCAUUGACAACACAAGGUAAUCAAGAGUAAAUAUUGA